rnacentral:rRNA from 1 species
GUCCACGCUGUAAACGAUGAUCACUAGAUGUUAGGCCUGUAUUGGCUUAGUGUCGCAGCUAACGCGUUAAGUGAUCCGCCUGGGAAGUACGGUCGCAAGAUUAAAACUUAAAGGAAUUGACGGGGGUCCGCACAAGCGGUGGAACAUGUGGUUUAAUUCGAUACUACGCGAGGAACCUUACCUAGGCUUGACAUGCUUUUGACUGCUGUUGAAAUACAGCUUUCUAGAUUUCGGUUUAGACAAUUGCACAGGUGCUGCAUGGCUGUCGU